UCAUUUUUACUACAGUAUAUUUUUUUUUUAGAUUGAUGAUUCAGUCAUUUGGAUUUUGUAAAUUAUUUUUUUUAGAGGAAAAGGAAAAAAAUCAAGAAGACGAAUUCUUCAUAGAUUUGUUCUGCUCCAAAGUCAGAGUUUUCAGAAAGUCUGAAUAUUUCACCUAGAUGCUCAUUUGACUAUAUAGCCCCUGCUGUACUCCCAGGGUCCCACAUUUUUCCUUUUGGAAUUGAUGGGUUGUAUGGACAUUUCAGCUGAUUUCAGGGUUUUACCAGUCCUUUGAUUGCUUGCAGCCCUGAGUUCUGGAGUCCUGAAUCUGCAGUCUCUUUAUGAAGGGUAGUUUAGGAAUUUUAAAUAUUAAGGUCCAAUCGUUAAUUCACGGAAGUACAACCCCAAGGCCUUGAUGUAUCACUAUCAGAGGUCAAAUCUCACAAAUGAAAAAAGUUACGCACUUAGUUCCAUUUAGGUGGUGGAGACAUUAAAACUUUUGAAACUUGUAUGCCACGAGAUUUAUGUGGCUAUAAAAGCAUAGUUUAAAGUUGAAUUGUUUUUAAAUUAUGAAGUUGUCAUUCGUUUUGGAAUGAAAUAAAUAAAUAGUGCCACAUAAGAGAGAACAGAGCGAGUAGGUUACUUAUGGACUAUCUGAGUUACAGCAUUGUAUGGAAGAAAAAUUUUUGAGGCUGUAGAGCGUGUGGGGAAAUCAAUUUUGGAUGUGAUGUGGAGAAAGGCUGUUGAUGGACUAGGAGGUGAGGGGGUAACGUGUUUGCUGGAAUUGCAGUUUAAUCAUAGAGUUGACAUUAUAAUUGGAUAUGGACACCCUUUCUCAAAAGUUGUUGGGAUGGUAGGGUUACAAUUAUGUAAUAUUUUGAUGGUGCCGUCAUUCUAUGUUGUUUAUGCCUUUAUGGCUUGUUUUGGCAAUUGGGUUAUGUCCAAUUCUUAUGGGUAUGUUUGGAUACUUUUAUCAUUAACAUGUGGGGCUUUAGUGGACAUGGUGCCUGAGUCUUGAUCAACAGGAUGAGAGGGAGGACCAACUUAAAAUGAUUUUUGUGGCUGAAAGUUGAAAAUGUGCCAUUUGAGAAUAACCAAGAUGAUGACAAAUAGGAUUUUGAAUUUUUCAAGUGGGUGUCAAAUGUAGCCUAAAUAAGGAAAACUAGAGGUCGAGCACAGAUGUGGUUGGAGCGUGUAAAUGAGUUUUGAAAACUUUUAUUGAUAUAUGGAGAACGAUUAUAAUUAGGAUUAAUGGGGAGCUUUUUUAUGUGGGAACAAUUAUAAUUGAACUCAAUAAAUAAGUAUUAAUGGCUACUCAAUAUGCUAUUUCAGAACAUUGAAUAAGUUCAGAAUGUCUCAGUCAAUUAGAGAAUGUCCUCACUUUCUGGAAA